CUCCGGGUGAUCCCGGCGGGACCCGACUGCUAUCAGAGUGGGACUAAGCCAUGCGAGUCGACGUAGCAAUGCGUGGCGAACGGCUCAGUAACACGUAGUCAACAUGCCCAGGGGACGUGGAUAACCUCGGGAAACUGAGAAUAAACCACGAUAGGUCACGAUUUCUGGAAUGGAUCAUGGCCUAAAUCUACAUGGCCCCUGGAUUGGACUGCGGCCGAUCAGGCUGUUGGUGAGGUAAUGGCCCACCAAACCUGUAACCGGUACGGGCUCUGAGAGGAGAAGCCCGGAGAUGGGCACUGAGACAAGGGCCCAGGCCCUAUGGGGCGCAGCAGGCGCGAAACCUCUGCAAUAGGCGAAAGCCUGACAGGGUUACUCUGAGUGAUUUCCGCUAAGGGGAUCUUUUGGCACCUCUAAAAAUGGUGCAGAAUAAGGGGUGGGCAAGUCUGGUGUCAGCCGCCGCGGUAAUACCAGCACCCCGAGUGGUCGGGACGAUUAUUGGGCCUAAAGCAUCCGUAGCCGGUUCUGCAAGUCUUCCGUUAAAUCCAGCCGCUCAACGGAUGGGCCGCGGAGGAUACUACAGGACUAGGAGGCGGGAGAGGCAAGCGGUACUCAGUGGGUAGGGGUAAAAUCCUUUGAUCCAUUGAAGACCACCAGUGGCGAAGGCGGCUUGCCAGAACGCGCUCGACGGUGAGGGAUGAAAGCUGGGGGAGCAAACCGGAUUAGAUACCCGGGUAGUCCCAGCUGUAAACGAUGCAGACUCGGUGAUGGGCUAGCCUUGUGCCAGCCCAGUGCCGCAGGGAAGCCGUUAAGUCUGCCGCCUGGGGAGUACGGUCGCAAGACUGAAACUUAAAGGAAUUGGCGGGGGAGCA
rnacentral:rRNA from 1 species